AACGAACGCUGGCGGCAUGCCUAACACAUGCAAGUCGAACGAGACCUUCGGGUCUAGUGGCGCACGGGUGCGUAACGCGUGGGAACCUGCCCUUAGGUUCGGAAUAACUCCCCGAAAGGGGUGCUAAUACCGGAUAAUGUCUUCGGACCAAAGAUUUAUCGCCUUUGGAUGGGCCCGCGUUGGAUUAGCUAGUUGGUAGGGUAAAAGCCUACCAAGGCGACGAUCCAUAGCUGGUCUGAGAGGAUGAUCAGCCACACUGGGACUGAGACACGGCCCAGACUCCUACGGGAGGCAGCAGUGGGGAAUAUUGGACAGUGGGCGAAAGCAUGAUCCAGCAAUGCCGCGUGAGUGAUGAAGGCCUUAGGGUUGUAAAGCUCUUUUACCCGGGAUGAUAAUGACAGUACCGGGAGAAUAAGCACCGGCUAACUCCGUG
rnacentral:rRNA from 1 species